AUUGAACGCUGGCGGCGUGCCUAAUACAUGCAAGUCGAACGCAGUGGGGACGGGUGAGUAACACGUGGGUAACCUCCCAUCAGAGGGGAUAACACUUGGAAAAUGGUGCUAAACCCAUACUGAUGGAUGGACCCGCGGGGCAUUAGCUGGUUGGUGAGGUAACGGCUCACCAGGGCCACGAGGCAUAGCUGACCUGAGGGGGGGAUAGGCCACACUGGGACUGAGACACGGCCCAGACUCCUACGGGAGGCAGCAGUAGGGAAUCUUCGGCAAUGGACGCAAGUCUGACCGAGAAACGCCGCGUGAGUGAGGAAGGUUUUCGGGUCGUAAAACUCUGUUGUUAGAGAAGCGGUAUCUAACCAAAAAGCCACGGCUAACUACGUGCCAGCCGCCGCGGUAAUUC
rnacentral:rRNA from 1 species